GGGGACCUUCGGGGCCCUAUCAAGUUGGUCACCUCUCGAGGGGGCUAUAACCCGGAUGGGCAGGGGCCCAUCUUACAAUUCGGAAGACAGAAA
rfam:Thalassobius gelatinovorus strain CECT 4357 genome assembly, contig: 0001